rnacentral:rRNA from 1 species
GACGAACGCUGGCGGCGUGCUUAACACAUGCAAGUCGAACGGAAAGGCCCUGCUUUUGUGGGGUGCUCGAGUGGCGAACGGGUGAGUAACACGUGAGUAACCUGCCCUUGACUUUGUGAUAACUUCAGGAAACUGGGGCUAAUACCGGAUAGGAGCUCCUGCUGCAUGGUGGGGGUUGGAAAGUUUCGGCGGUUGGGGAUGGACUCGCGGCUUAUCAGCUUGUUGGUGGGGUAGUGGCUUACCAAGGCUUUGACGGGUAGCCGGCCUGAGAGGGUGACCGGCCACAUUGGGACUGAGAUACGGACCAGACUCCUACGGGAGGCAGCAGUGGGGAAUAUUGCACAAUGGGCGGAAGCCUGAUGCAGCAACGCCGCGUGCGGGAUGACGGCCAUCGGGUUGUAAACCGCUUUCGCCUGUGACGAAGCGUGAGUGACGGUAAUGGGUAAAGAAGCACCGGCUAACUACGUG